UACGUAGGGGGCUAGCGUUGUCCGGAUUUAUUGGGCGUAAAGAGCGUGUAGGCGGCUAGAUAGGUCCGUUGUGAAAACUCGAGGCUCAACCUCGAGACGUCGAUGGAAACCAUCUGGCUAGAGUCCGGAAGAGGAGAGUGGAAUUCCUGGUGUAGCGGUGAAAUGCGCAGAUAUCAGGAAGAACACCCGUGGCGAAGGCGGGUCUCUGGGCAAUAACUGACGCUGAGGAGCGAAAGCGUGGGGAGCGAACAGG
rnacentral:rRNA from 1 species